ACUACAAAAGCAUAUGUACUUGCUUGAAUAUAAGGGAAAUAGUCUUACUGGCGUUUAUUCACAUUUUAAAUGAAAAAACAAAUAAGAUGUUAUGUCGAGAGAAUAAUUGUAGACUUGUAGUUCAACGAUCUUGUUCAAAGCGUAUAUGCGAGUAUUUUGCUUUUGCAUGUACUAUUCUUCCUGAAAAUAAAAAUACAAAUGAGAAUUUAUUUUCUCAAGUUUCAAGGCAUAAAAUUUUAUUUAUUCCCAGAUGCGUGCAGUUCAAUUAACCAAAUUAAAUAUCUGCAGGCAAUUUAUGUAUCCAUUCAUCCAUCCGGAGGCGAUGGAUAUUCGUGUAUGUCACAACUUAAAUGACACGAU
rnacentral:lncRNA from 1 species